ensembl:rRNA 5S_rRNA 5S ribosomal RNA
AGCCACAGCCAUAUCACCCUGCAGCCCUGGUUGCCCACUGAAGCUAAGCAGGGUUGAGCCUGGUCAGUACCUGGAUGGGAGACCUCCUGGGAAAACUAGAUUGCUGUUGGAA